rnacentral:rRNA from 1 species
UACGUAGGGGGCAAGCGUUGUCCGGAUUCAUUGGGCGUAAGAGCGUGUAGGCGGCCAGGUAGGUCGGUUGUGAAAACUGGAGGCUCAACCUUCAGAGGUCGACCGAAACCAUCUGGCUAGAGUCCGGGAGAGGAGAGUGGAAUUCCUGGUGUAGCGGUGAAAUGCGCAGAUAUCAGGAAGAACACCCGUGGCGAAAGCGGCUCUCUGGAACGGUACUGACGCUAAGACGCGAAAGCGUGGGGAGCGAACAGG